rfam:Sporolactobacillus laevolacticus DSM 442 Contig020, whole genome shotgun sequence.
GUUCCCAUCCCGAACACGGUCGUUAAGCUCUUCUGUGCCGAUGGUAAUUGGGGGCUGUCCCCCUGUGAGAGUAGGUCACUGCCAGGC